UGUUCUGUAUUUUUCUCCAGCUCCGUCCGGGACCCUCUAUUGUGAUCCCUGUCAGAGCCACUGGUGGUGGCAGCCGGGCACCUCUAGGUGUGCUGGAGUCAGUCUGGUGGAGGCUACACACUUGUGGUUGGACAAACUAAUUUUAAUGGAUGCAGCUCGUCCUAUUAUGGCCUCUACUAUGCCUUAUGACCUGAGAAGAUGACGUCUGCACAACAGGAUAAAGCCUGUGGAAGACGGAGCCAGACAACCAGAGCAGGGUGAGAUGCCACUCACAGCUCACUGUGACCACGGGGUGAAGGAGCACACGUUCCCAGCCAGCCAGGGAGAGCCAAUGGCUCGCAGCCAGACAAGGGCCCCGAUUUCUUUAGGGUAUUUGGAGUAAUGUAGUCUCCUAAAUAAUGCCUGGAACUAUUUAGAAUUUGAAUAAUACUGCUUUUAAAAAAAGGUAAUACAACGUUGGAGCUAGAAAACAAAAAGACAAAACCAAUAAUGAACACGAAUUGCUCAUCCAAAGGCUCUGGACAACCUACAGGUAAACAAGUGGCACACGUGACCACACCUACACUACAGUUUACAUCACCUAAGUCAACAGACGCAGAAGGAAGGAAAGGAAAAACGCCCAGAGUGCACUUGGUGACAGUGCACUGAUUUUCACAUUCCCUCCUACGGCGUAUUUUUGAGGCCCUGCCACGGGCUCCUCCACAAGGCUCCGUCAGGGGUUCCUACACGAGGCUCUGUCAUGGGCUCCUACACUGAGGCUCCGUCACAGGCUCCAUCACAGCCUCCUACAGUCAGGCUCCGUCACGGGCUCCUCCACAGCCUCCUACAGUCAGGCUCCGUCACAAGUUCCUACAGUCAGGCUCCAUUACAGGUUCCUACAGUCAGGCUCCAUUACAGGUUCCUACAGUCAGGCUCCAUCACAGGCUCCUACAUGAGCCUCCAUCACAGGCCCUGAGGGGAGAGACCCAGGCACCUAUCCCAUUGCCACAGCUGUCAGACCCCAAAUUGUGGUCACGCCAUGCAGUCUGUCAGUCUCCUUGCCUCUAAAAUGGGACAAUGACUGACCCACUCCACAGGACUGUUGUGGAAAUUAAAUUAGAAGGUACUUUUAAACGGCUCAACUCCGUGACUAGAACGGGAAUGAGUGCUUCACAAGCAUUAGUGAUGAGGAGGCCGAAUGGGCACAUCACAGAAGUGUGAAACUAGGUUAAAUAUUGGUUUCAGAAGAAUGAAUAGCGUUUCCAACGUAUUAACACUUCUAUUUACUGCAGGUUUAGCUUUAUCUCCUGAAGUUUAUUCCAUUGCCAGAAUACACACAUGCACCAUUAACAAAGUCUGACUUCUUGGAGACACCCCCGGCCAUUGAUUUUAAUCCCUGCCCAACAAGCGUCAGAGUGCCUGCAUGACAGUGAAGGGCAGGAGGGGCAGCCUAAUGGGGCACAUUUGCGUCUUACCUACCAAAAACCAAACCAAACCCACUGCCAUCGAGUCUAUUCCGACUCAUAGCAUCUUACCUAAGGAGAACACAAAUGCCUUUCUGUUCUGUGUUUUAACAUUUCUAGAAGGAUAAAUCCAGUACAGAGAAACUGCUUUCAACUAGAACCCAGUUAACUGGACUUCAUGCUACUGUUUUUAGCAGAAAUGAAGCUAGCACAUUACAAGGAAAUGAGUUUUGCCCAUGAGCGUCAUUUUGAGAAGCAGCAUCCAGGAAACACCUAGAUCAUGACAAAGCCAGCACAGCCUCUGCAGUCAGAUAACAGAUGCGGUGUCUCCAACACUGGAACCUCCAUGUCAACAAGUGCUAUUACUACCCUGUCACACAGCAAUAAUCCACUUCAGGACCACAACACAAGGACCCUGACAGCAAGAGGGGUUUACAGUUCCACAGAAAAUACAGGGUGGAGAGAAGGAGUGUGCUGUCACACUGUAGGGAGAGCAACAAGUGUCACGUAACAAAGUGUGUAAGUUUUUGUAUGAGAAACUGACUUAAAUUGUAAAUUUUCACUUAAAGCACAAUAAAAAUAUAUGUAUACACACACAUAUAUAUAUAAAAGUGCUCUAAAUUAAGGAUGUUUCAAGUUAAAAAAAAAAAAAAAUACAUUUGAAACCAAAAGUGGUUUCUGUU